rnacentral:rRNA from 1 species
AUUGAACGCUGGCGGCAGGCCUAACACAUGCCAGUCGAGCGGAUGAAGGGAGCUUGCUCCUGGAUUCAGCGGCGGACGGGUGAGUAAUGCCUAGGAAUCUGCCUGGUAGUGGGGGAUAACGUCCGGAAACGGGCGCUAAUACCGCAUACGUCCUCAGGGAGAAAGUGGGGGAUCUUCGGACCUCACGCUAUCAGAUGAGCCUAGGUCGGAUUAGCUAGUUGGUGGGGUAAAGGCCUACCAAGGCGACGAUCCGUAACUGGUCUGAGAGGAUGAUCAGUCACACUGGAACUGAGACACGGUCCAGACUCCUACGGGAGGCAGCAGUGGGGAAUAUUGGACAAUGGGCGAAAGCCUGAUCCAGCCAUGCCGCGUGUGUGAAGAAGGUCUUCGGAUUGUAAAGCACUUUAAGUUGGGAGGAAGGGCAGUAAGUUAAUACCUUGCUGUUUUGACGUUACCAACAGAAUAAGCACCGGCUAACUUCGUG